UCCCCUAGGCCAGCAUCCUCUGUAGCUCCAGGGUCGCGCUGUCCCCGCCCGGGCAAACCCUAUUUUCCGCCGGAGCUACUCUCAUCCAGGCGCCGUCCUCUCCUCCCCCGAUAAAACGUAUAAUCUAGGUCCGAAGUGCCAUCAUCCCGUCAACUUCCAAGAAAAGCCUCUCCAAUAACAGCCCCCUCCCAGAGCCUUCAUCCCUGGAUCAAACGAGCCUGUUCCCUCGGGCCUUUUAGCCCUCAGGCGUUCCUUCUAACUCAUUUGGAGAGUCUUGCAAGUCUUGCAAGUCCUGCUGCGGUUGCCGCCUCCGGGACGCCUCCUCUGAUUUCCAUCGCUGCUCUAGACUCUAGUCCACCGCGAACGCGCCCUCCCCCGCAUCCUGCUGCAGCGAAGGCUCCCUGCCUGGCUGAGACCCGCUCUUACUCAACUUCCCCCGCCCACUCGCCCCCGGCACUGCGUCCAGGCCUGGCGCCGAGGACAGAAGGGGACCUGGGGUUUGCUACUGGGAGAAGCCCUCACUGAGUGCCUGAGUGGCGGCGGGGUCUCUGGUAAAGUUCCAGGAAUCUCCUUUAGGGGAGACCCAGUUGAAAAAAACACACAAACCCGUGUGGCCUCUGGCCCAGUGACACGGAACCUUCCUAAUGGGGCAGGACCUUGGUUCUCACAGGUGCCUGCGUCCGAGGAAAGCACUCAAGAUCUGGAGAUUGGACUGCGGGGUCAGCCUUCUGGCCGCAGAGCCUGUCUGAGCCUGUUCUCAACAUAGCAGCCACCCUAUCCCACCUUCUUACCCAUGAAACCACUGGUGGCGGCAUCUCUACCGUCACAGGAGUCUCAGAUCCUUCAGCCUCCCUGGGCCUGCGGCUGCCUUCUCUUUAAAAUGGGGGAUGAGAACACUGACGCAGGGAGAGAUGUUGAUGGAGCAACUGGUAUUUGAACCUAGUCCCCAUCUGACUCUAGCUUCUGGCAAAUGCUCAGCCCAGGAACUCCAAGGAGAGUCUGCAGGAGACCCCAGGAGGGGAGGGAUUGCAGUGGAGGUUGACGUCGUGGAUGGUCCCAUGGGAACGUCUCCCUGCCCGGCCACAUGGGGCAGGGAUACUCAUCACAGCAUUGGCUGCAACAGCAAGCACCUGUUGGAGAGAAGGCUGUUAAAUAGAACAGGGGGAAUUUGUGCUAAUGUCACCCAGUUAUUUUUUUUUUCUGAUCUUUUUCAACUGUGUGCUUUUCUUCCCCCCCCAGUCACACCACAUAACAUGUAGGAUGUUAGUCCCCAAGCAGGGAUGGAGCCAGUGACCCCUGCAUUGCAAGCGCAGUGUCUUAACCACUGGACUGCCAGGGAAGUCCCUCACCCAGCUGUUAAAAGCAGGGAGCCCACCUCUCUCUAUGUUGAUUUGGAA
ensembl:lncRNA